rnacentral:rRNA from 1 species
GACGAACGCUGGCGGCGUGCUUAACACAUGCAAGUCGAACGGAAAGGCCCUGCUUUUGUGGGGUGCUCGAGUGGCGAACGGGUGAGUAACACGUGAGUAACCUGCCCUUGACUUUGGGAUAACUUCAGGAAACUGGGGCUAAUACCGGAUAGGAGCUCCUGCUGCAUGGUGGGGGUUGGAAAGUUUCGGCGGUUGGGGAUGGACUCGCGGCUUAUCAGCUUGUUGGUGGGGUAGUGGCUUACCAAGGCUUUGACGGGUAGCCGGCCUGAGAGGGUGACCGGGGACAUUGGGACUGAGAUACGGAGCAGACUCCUACGGGAGGCAGCAGUGGAGAACAUUGCACAAUGGGCGGGAGCCUGAUGCAGAAACGCCGCGUGCGGGAUGACGGCCUUCGGGGUGUAAACCGCUUUCGCCUGUGACGAAGCGGGAGUGACGGUAAUGGGUAAAGAAGCACCGGCUAACUACGUG